rnacentral:lncRNA from 1 species
CUGCCGCCGUCGCCGGAGGAAAAAGGGAGAGAAGGAAAGGAGGAGGAGCGGACGGGGGAAAGUGUAGAGAGAAGGGAGAGGAUUGAGAGGAAGAGAGAGGGAGUUAGGGUUUCAAAUGGCUGAAUUUGGCUUAAGAUGGGUAUUUAUAUGAACCAGGUAAAUUACAUUUUUGCCCUACGCCUUCCUUCUUGACACACAA